ACAAAAUGUUGUUCCUUAUUUCUUUUGUCUGCAACUCAAAAGCAUCAUACGGAAAUAAAACCAAAACCAAGUCCCUCAUCUUCAACCUCUUGAUCUCACCCUCUCCCUCUGUUAUUAAACAUCCACAGCCAAACAUCCUACCCCCUCCUUCCCUCUCGUGUGUCUGACAGCGGCGCCGCCGCGAGUGGCGGCGGAGGUGACAUGGUUCAGGCGGCACACGGCGGCGAGAGAGACCCGAAGAGAGAGAAAAGGAGACGAGGGUGAGAGGUGACGGCAGCGGCCCAUCGGCGGCGGUGAUUACCGCCUGUUUUCCGUCGACGGCCGGUAACGAUUUACGGCACCGUCAGACCUUCGACAAAGCUCAGUCCUGUUCAAGCUCCGGUCGACGUUGUUUCAGUCCGGUUCCAGUUCGAGUCUCUAUUCGGGUUUGUGUGGUUCGAGUGUGGUUUGUUUUGGCUCGGGUCUAUGACGAACAGCAGAGCCGACACGCGGCGGUAGCCGGCGUCGGAAAUGGAGGUGGUUCAGUUCCUAUUUCGGGUCUCAGUUCAGGUCAAGUCUUCAGUUUAUUCGGUUCAGUUUUGGUUCGGAUUUCGGUUUGUUUCGGUUCACACGGUUCGGUUUGGGUCAGGUUGUAGCUCGAGUUCGCGUCUUUUCGUUCACUGUUUCGGAUAAUCACUCGUGUUCGUCCUCUUGGAUUUCUCGAAUCCUUACUCGUGCGUUAUUUUAAGGAAUCUCCAAUACGCAAUCAAUGUUGAUUAUUGAAGUAUGGAUGAUUGAUGAAACAAGUUUAGGGUGGACUAGAUACACACCUAAAUUUAUCUAUCUUUUUUUUGUUAUGUUAUUUGUUGGAACAAUGUUGUUAUUUCCUUUUGAAUUUGUAUGACAUUUAGUUUUGAAAUGAAAUUUGAAUUUAAUUAAA